rnacentral:rRNA from 1 species
UNUGACUUGAGUGCAGAAGGGGAGAGUGGAAUNCCAUGUGUAGCGGUGAAAUGCGUAGAUAUAUGGAGGAACACCAGUGGCGAAAGCGGCUCUCUGGUCUGUCACUGACGCUGAGGCUNGAAAGCGUGGGUAGCGAACAGGAUUAGAUACCCUGGUAGUNCACGCCGUAAACGAUGAGUGCUAGGUGUUAGGCCCUUUCCGGGGCUUAGUGCCGGAGCUAACGCAAUAAGCACUCCGCCUGGGGAGUACGACCGCAAGGUUGAAACUCAAAGGAAUUGACGGGGGCCCGCACAAGCGGUGGAGCAUGUGGUUUAAUUCGAAGCAACGCGAAGAACCUUACCAGGUCUUGACAUCCCGAUGCUAUUCUUAGAGAUAGGAAGUUACUUCGGUACAUCGGAGACAGGUGGUGCAUGGUUGUCGUCAGCUCGUGUCGUGAGAUGUUGGGUUAAGUCCCGCAACGAGCGCAACCCUUAUUGUUAGUUGCCAUCAUUAAGUUGGGCACUCUAGCGAGACUGCCGGUAAUAAACCGGAGGAAGGUGGGGAUGACGUCAAAUCAUCAUGCCCCUUAUGACCUGGGCUACACACGUGCUACAAUGGUCGGUACAACGAGUUGCGAGCCGGUGACGGCAAGCUAAUCUCUGAAAGCCGAUCUCAGUUCGGAUUGGAGGCUGCAACUCGCCUCCAUGAAGUCGGAAUCGCUAGUAAUCGCGGAUCAGCACGCCGCGGUGAAUACGUUCCCGGGCCUUGUACACACCGCCCGUCACACCACGAGAGUUUGUAACACCCGA